UCCAGCAUUCCAGCCUGGCAGCAGGAGCAAUAAGCCCUGGUUUCAGAGGACGCUCCCACUACAAGGUGGCAUGAGCGUGCUGCAGGCUGCAAGGUGUCAGGGGCUAUCCUCCCCCUGGCUGGGCACCUUGCUGAGCUGAAAUGGAAUUAAAAGCCACUUCAAUCACACAAAGCAAGGACUUCCAGCUGGAGCUGGAGGGGUUAGUGUGGGUAAUGAAGGUGCUGCACAGCCCUGGAUACCCGGUCCCACUGCCACCCCUGACCAUCCCCUCCUGGCAGCAAACAGUGAGCAGCCCUCAAAGCUGCCCAAGGCCCUCUGGUAAAUGCUGGCACAUCAUGAAAUCCCUUGCAGAGAAUCAGAAGUACUUUGCAAAUGAUUUUCCACUCAGUCCAGAGGCUGAAGCUGUUGCAAAUCAUGGCUGGUUCGAUCGUGUCUUUUUUGAGCUGGAAGGCCACGGGUUAAUAAAAGUUUGAUUAGAUAUAUAUAUUUCUAUAUAACCCCUGCUGCUUUCAGACACAUCUGUGCCCCCAACUGCUUUGCAGACUGCAGUGCAAUCACCAAAGUGUAGUAAAGGCACUUGUCUGGCUGCAGAAGAGAGAAAGAUUUGUUGUUUGCUUAGCUGUGACUGAAGAGAAUAUUCACUGUGUGCAGACAGGUUUGAUUGUCAUGUACGGCUGCAUUUAGUGUGCUCAGUCAGGGAUUCACACUUUAGACUGGUACAGCAUCCUACCCAUACAUCAUAUUAAAUAUUAACUGGAGGGGAGCAGAGAUAUUUUAUGCCUAUUUUGUUUCAUAGAGUUUUUAUCUUUCUUUUCUUUCUUUCUUUCUUUCUCUUUCUCUCUCUCUUUCUUUUUUAUUUUUCUUUCUUUCUCACUUUCUUUCUUUUCUUUCUUUCCUCUCUUUCCUCUCUUUUCCCCUCUUUUCCUCUCUCUUCCUUUCUCCCUUUCUCUCUUUCUUUCCUUUGUAUUACAGGAGAAAUGUCAGUCUCCAGGUUGUUUCCUCCUUAUAUUGCUAUUUGCUGCCUUCACCAGAGGGCAGCGUAAAACCUGGGGUCUUGCUGCACGUUAGAACAACUGAAGUGAAACCCAUGACACUGUCAAGUGCUUAAAAUUAAAAUGCUGGUUUGUGCUUACAGAAACAAUGUGCACCAGAGCUUAGCAGAGGGCUGUAGAGUUCAGGGAGGGAUGGUGAAAUCGCCUGUUAAUGGAUGACUGCCUUGGAAAACAUCAGUUGCCUUGUGCUUCUGCCUCAGCCAGGAAAGCUCCACAUGAGCCUUUCAUAAAUUAAAAUAUUUCUGCCUUAAAGAAGCCCCUUCUGCAAGCAUAGUGCUGAACAAGGUGCCCCACCACAUGUGCCACCUCGAAAUUAUCUUCUGAAACACCUGGAGCCACGUGUAAACGAAAUCACCUCAACUGAUGAACUGUUCUCUCUCUGCUUUGCUGCCCCUGUGCAUCCUCCUCAUCCCUCACUUGUGCCAGGAACUGCCAGGAAGAAUAGAUUUGAAUUCCACUGUGCAAAUGCCUGACCUGGUUCCAUGGAUGCCCGAAGUCUCAUCCCCCCCAGGAAGUAACCCCAGCCCUACUGUGCCAUCUCCCUGAGGUAUGUCUAAUCACAUGGAGGCACCUCUGCCAGGGGCUUCCCAAAGUUAGGCAUGCACUGGCACACAUGCACACCCCUCCAGCACCCAUUUGAACACAAAGGUAUUCCCCUAUUCUAUCUUUCCUAUAUUUGUAUUCACACUACAUGGGAGGAUGGAGACUGCAGUAAACAAAUAUCCUGGGGCUGAGGGAAAAGCCCAGCCUGGGGAAAAUGUGAGGUGGCUUUGCUUCGAGCCUGCUGUCUCCCCUGUGCUUCUGCAAAUUGUGAUUUGAUAUAACCCUUUCCUCAGCCCCUUCAUAAGGGCUGUAACUGCAUCAAUAUUUCUGAUAGCAUCAUGCACGUGUUCAUCCUAAGUAGGUUAUCCUUCACGCUGCGCAACUUCCAACCUGCUUGCUGCAAUUUAUCAGUGGGGAAGGAUAUUUUGGGAAUGAUCCCGUGUCUCUUCUCCAUGUCACAGGAUAAUGUGCUGCACAUAAUGAAUCCCACCCGCAGGAUUUGUCAGUUUCUUAUGCAGUAACGACACAAAAAAAAAUACAUCCAGGUCUCCAUUCCUCUGGAUGUUACAGCUUGUUAAGUGACUGUCCAGUUCACAGCAUUCAGCACUUCCCUGAGUGUUUGUUACACCCAUCCAUUAAAGUGCUCACCAGAGCCAUGUGGAAUUGCAAAUGGGAGCUGCAGGACAUCAGGACAGACGUACAGACACCUCUCCUCUGCACUAUGUUUGAGACCGUCUGUCUGCACACUCUUGUGCCAUCGUUUGAGAUCUGCUGGAGGCACAGCUUGCUCAUGGUGGCACUUUGUGCAAACAUAACAGAUUUUAUGAAGCUGAGCUAUUUGGUGUCACACGCUCGUCCUGACAGCGCCAAGAAAGCCGCAUAUAGUGCUCAGGGAUGUGGGUGAUGGUGCUAUUCCAGCUCAGGAUCAAAGUUCUCACAGCUCCAGGUUGAUCCAGAAGGGACAACAGGGAGAGGGAAGGAAAAAGGGAAAGAAGUAAGAGCAGGAGCACUAACUUCAAUAACCUUCCUUUUGUAGGUGAGACUAUUAGGUGCCCAGACUUAGAAAAUGCCAAAUUUAGGUGGCAUCAUUAACUUAGGUUAAGGCUCCUUCCCCAGAAAGAAGGAGCAAAGUUUCUGAAGGCCAGAAGCCUCACUCUACCCAGAGGCUAAAGGUCCCGUUAUCAUCCCAUACACAUUAUCCCUUAAAAUGUUACAGGAGAGGGCAGAACAGUCCAGGGCAAGUGCAAACUCUUGGCUCUAGGAUAUGGCAUGGGAUAAAUGAGGGAAGUGAGGGGCUUUCCACUGAGCCUCCCCUGGUCCACAGGGCCUUUUGAAAUGACUCACUUCUGUGCUGUUCUUUUCCUAAAUAGAGCAGUGCAAAGGUGAGGAAGAGGUGAGGAGGAACAAGGCGGCUCUUGAACAGCCCUGACCCAACAGAGAAGUCUAUUCUGGUAUUUAGGUUCCUGAGAGGUGAAGCACUUGCGUGCAUGAAGCACAUACCUCACUGUGCAGCUGCAGCCAGGUCAUAGGAGUAACUCCCAGGUGAAAAGAAGCUGCAGGAAAGGGAAGGAAAGGCAAGAUCCCAACCAGCAAUGCUAUCACCUGGCACUGGCAGCUCAGAAGCUGUAGGGCAAUGUGUCUUUGUUAAUGUAAACCCUGACUCAACAGGCAUUCCAAUGCACUGUUCCUUCUGUGGGAUGCUGGCAGGCUGUGCCACACCCAGCUGGCUCUUUGUGGAACGUUGAGUGAUUUGUGACUGAAGGCAAAAGGAAAAGGUCAUAAUUUGUAUAAAUCAGAUGGAAGUCAGGAAAGUUAUCCUGCAGGUGCUGGGCAAGGAUCAAAAUGCUGGGAUCACUUAGAGCCUAGCUGGAGAAAAACUCUGUGCAGGGGAGCUGAGCAAAUGUCUCCUUUUCCAUUGGGGCUGGGGGGAAUGGGUGGGAAGGCCAUCCGAGCGCAAUAGCCAACAGUCUGGAAAAUAUAAUACCAAGUAAUGCAUGCCAUAAUGAAACAGCUACCUUAGCAAUAGCUGAUGUGAAUUCCUUCAUGGCCAUGAUUUCUAUUCUCAUACAAAAGCAAAAAAAAUCCCUUUCCUGGCAGGCAAAAUCAAAGGUGUCUCUUGCAGCCCUCUGCUCAAGGAGUUUUCUUCUAAACCACAGAACCAUCACCAUUACUUUGUUCACAGGUAAUUACUCCCUGCAGCUAAUUUGGAGCCAUAUUUGAAAGUGAAAUGGAGAUAUCCUGUGUUACCCUUUUCCCCUCAGUCUGCCUUGGCAUUAUCAUCGUUCUCUGCUCUGGUGCCCGUAGCAACAGUCACGGCCGUCCCCACGUGCCCCGAGCAAGCAAGACCUGCUGAUGCCUGACAUUUAUCCAGCUGGGCUCUUCACCAUGGGCUUUGCCUGCUGGAGAUCACACCUCCUAAACCCCUCAGUGCUGAGGGAUGGGUGCACUUGUUGAAAAUAUGGACAUACCAAUGAGGAUGCUCUUAUUCCCGGAGAUGAUUUUGUGGAGAAAAAACAACCUCUUCCAUUCAGCAGGAAAGACAAUGAAAGAUUGCUUUGUUGUUCUUUCUUUCCUGUAUGUUGCAUGUGUACCAAGAGGGGUGUGAGAGAGAGGAAAGUCUUAGAAGUAGUGGGUUGCUUAUGUCAGCAAACAGGAAGAACUUGCUUGGACACAGCUAGCAAAAGGCAUGUGCCAGCUACUGAAUAAAUGGCAUAUCCAUUGUAAUGCACAGAUAAUAACAGAAAGUCUUUACACCUGCUAAACAAUUGCCAAGUGACUAAUACAAGCCUUGGGUUGGCAAGCAGUAGGGGUUUAGGAAAUAGGCUGAAAGAGCAGUAUUUGUGAAGCCCCAUGAUUCACUUGUACAGCUACAAGAUUUCCUUACCUCUCAUCCUCCCUUAACCACAGGUGCUUUAAAAACAAGUUUUGGGCUUUAUGAGUUACUACCUAUGUGCUGCAGUCAUCUUCCCCAGCUGGUAAGCAGCAUUAUCAGCUUAUGGGGUUCAUGUAUGGAAGUGUUACACUUUAGUUGGUCUCAGCAGGUCCAUUUUUCUUGCACAGAUUUAUGGUACUUUCUAGCAAGUUGAUAUGCUUGCUCUGAGCUGAAACAAAUUCCCAGUGAAAUCCUCUCAAGAAGAGGGAGAUUUAUUGGUUUUCGGCCUGACUGCACACAUGUGCCCACAGGGAGCCAAAAUGGGUCAUAGCCAGUGAAAUGCCGCCAGUGCCUGAGUGUGAGGCUGGGCACCAGGAUGCUCCUGCUGCUCCUGCACCUUUGCAAGGAGGGGUAGAUCAGGUCCAUGCAGGAUGUCAAUACUUCAUCCCCACCUUGCAUAGUUGUUCUUCACUGCAGGGCACCUGAUGUAAAACUGACAUCAGCUGUAACAUAACAGUAGCUUUGAAGCUGCCACUGGGAAAGAAGUGCAAGCAGCUAUUGCUGGUUGCAUGUGGGUGGGCUUGGAAGCACAAGCACUUCAUCCAGCAGUCCAUGGCACUUUGCCUGCUGCGCAUAUCCAGCCAAAUGAGGCCGGGGAUGCUCUCAGCAGGCACCACCACGGAGUGAAUUACACCUUUUCUCCAUCUUCUCCACUGCUUUCCCUCUUUUCCCCCAUCCUAACUGAAAAGACAAGUUUGCUCUUUUUCCCAUGUCAGCUGCUCCCCUCCUUGAUUUCUCCUGCCCCAUCACUGCAGCAGAGCAGGCACUGCUGCCCACACAGCCCCACAGGGGGGUGCCGGGCUCCUGAACUCUAGCAGGAAGCUGAGGGCUGGGCUGGGCAGCAGUGGUUGGGCUGAGAGGUGGCAAUCAGGGGCUGUGCAUCAGAAGAUGCCCUGCAUGUGCUGCCCUGAGCUGUGAAGGUCUUUUACCGUGAUGGGCAGUGGGGAGCAGAGGAGAUGUUUGGCCUCAGUGGGAAGGGAACAUCCCACCCCCAGUAUUGCUGACCUGGCUAUCAGGACCUCAGGAUUUCCAUCAUCUAGCUAUCUAUCUAGUGAAAAGGUAGAGAAAAGACUACGGAGUCUAUGAGUAAAUGGCAGCAUGUUAAGAAGGCAGCCAAAAUAAAAGAGAACUAGUCUUCCCUUCUGCCCAGAGAGCCAAGGAAACACACUGACCAGUAAACAGCCUUGUCCUUACAAUAAGGAGGAUAUUUCACCUGAACUUAUAUAAAGAAAACAUUCCUAGGAGCCAUUCAAAACACCACUUUAUUGAUGGAUGUUAGGAGUUGUAAAUAAUGGGGGUGUGGGCGUGGGAGAAAUGAGAGAAGCUAUCCUCCCUCUUGCUUAAUUGAAUUCAACAGGAGUCAUCACUGGGGGCUGCUGUGCUUUGUGGAUUGUGUAAUCUUCAGGGAAGACUUGAAUACAGCAAGACACACUGAUUCACUUAUGUAGGAGUGAAUCCAGAGUAACCUGAGUCUGGGAGAGUAGAUGUGGGAUGCAUAUUUAUUUCCUCAAGUGAAUGAAAUGAGGAAAUUCUCACCUUCUCCCUCAACAUACUAUCAAAAUCAUAGGUAAACAUAUGCUGGGUUUGCCUUUGUAUUUAUAAUAUUUUUCAUCAUAUUAUUUCUACCACCAAAAAGUAGAUCAAAGAAAGCAAUGUGACACAGCUGAGUGGAGUCUGGGUAUCAAAACCUACAUGUUUCUUAGAUAUGAGAAAGGAGAUGUGUGACCAUCCUCUCUGCUGGGAACAUACACUUCCCGAAGCCCCAGAGGAGAGGGGUUUCCUAGAAUUAUGCCUGGUGGCAAGGACACUAACAAAUGCUGGACUGAACACUGAAGAUCAUUCUGGUCUGAAGCUCCUGCCUGUGAUGAGGCAGAAAGUGUGGGGCUGGCAAACCCCUAAAAGCUUGGGGAGCAUAAAACCAAGACUUCAACACGGGAGAAAAACCUCACAGCUGAGGCACUGAGAUGCUGCUGGCAAGGGAAUGCACUGGGUGAGUGCUGAACCACAACAAAAACUGCUGCACUUUUUAUAACAUAAUUGCGUGCUUUAUUGAUAUACACAGUAAAGCAGUAUAUAAUACAAUAGUAAGGCAUAUAUUUGGUGAAAUUUGGUAUGUUGUGAAAAAAUGCAGUAAAACAGAAGUUUAUAAAAAUAAUUAGUAAAUGUUACAGUGUUGGGUGUUAAAACACAAUAUAUUAUGAUAUCCAAGUAAUAAACCAGUACUGAGUAACGAUGUAAUAACAUGCCAUAUGGUAUUUAUGUUUUCAACUACACUGAUUAUGUUUUACAGUUUAAUAUUUUGUCAUUAUAAGGAAUAUGAAAUAAUUCCCAAAUUAUGCUUAAAAAAGCAGCAAUAAAGCUUUCAACUUUUUAAAUACUUUUUGACAGACUCACUCCAAAACUAAAGUAAAACAAACAAAACAAAACCCUGAUGAAAACAAUCGUGCAAUCUGUUUUUCCUCCAUUUUUUUUCUGAAGAGAAGGUUUAACAUAUAAGGGGGGAAAAAAAGAAGAAACCCAUUUCUCAAAUCGCAAUUUAAACCUUCUGCUAAAAAAGGCCAUGAGAAAUAGUGAGGGUUCCUAUUUUAAUAAAGUGUUAAAAAAAGCUCUUUAUUAGGAAAGCAGAGGUUUGGGAGGAUUGUACUUAUUUUUAAAGAUUAUUAACGUUGUUAUUAUUUAAACGAUGAUACCUGGUCACACAAUGGACACGUGGUGAGGAUGUAACAUUGUCGUACAUAAUUGUCAGGAACACCACAAAACCAAAGUGAGGUAGAAAUAGCAUGACUAGCUAUGUUCAAUGUUAACUAGCAUUCAAAAUAAAAUCUUUCCCAAGUUUAAUUACAAUUCAUACAAGAAGAGGUAACAGAUUUUUUAUACUCUUGCAAUAUAAAGUCAGAUGGUGUGUUUCUAUGUAUUCUAAGGUAAAAUUAAAAGCUGGUUAAGAAAAUGAAGUGGUAAAGCUUUUGCUGACAGCACCUCAUACCCAAACCAAUCUCUCCCAAGCUGCAGUCAAACUGGUUAAUCUGUUUUGCUACCGGUUCCUCUCUUCCUCACGUUAUUGUUAAUUGUGCAGGAUUACUUGUAGAGAGAAAAACAGGGAAGGAGAAAGGACCAGGGCCUUUGUUUUGGUGAUAAACACCUCAUGGAGCAGUGUGACUACCUUCACCUGAUCACCACACGCGCGCGAGAACAGCAGUAACUCUUGUGCAGCCUUUCCCAAAGGUUGCUCACAGCGUUACAGCUCCUUGGGACUGGCUGCUGUAGCAGGCUGAGACACGGGACUGCAGAAAGCUCUGGUUGUACUGUCCAGAGGAUCGAGGAGCUUCAUGCUCAUUAACAGCACUGGGAGCUGGACAAUGCUCUGUGAUGCUUUGAGGGGGUCAGGAGGGAACUUCUCCCCUGCUGAAGCACAGCCAGCAGGUACCGGACACCGAGCUCCGAAAGUUUAAACCAGUAAGGCAAUUUCUACGUUCCUUUACUAACAGCAUUCAGGAAUUUAGUCAGCAGAGGAAACACUGGCACAUAGGAUGCUCAUUAAAUUCUUUCCUUUCUUUCUUUCUUCUGGGUUUUUUCUUUUUCUUUUUUUUUUUUUUUUUUAAAUUAUUUUUUUUUGCAGGUUCUGUCAUGUAAUGUGCUCUUUCAUUUAAUUAUUGCAAACUAGCUGUGUAAUUGCUAGUUGCUGUCCGAAAGCAGGACAGUAAUUCAUGUAAUUCUUAAUUUUAUUGGAAAGAUAUGACAUAACUACCUUCAUUGGAAGUUCAGUUUUGUGUUUUUUGUGUUUUUUUUUUUUUUAAGCCAGCCCUAGUCAGACAAAACCAAUGAGAAAUGUAAGUUGGCCAUUUUGGUGUCACUUCAGGAAAUACUUUUUUUUUACUUUUCAUUACGCAAGGAAAAGAACACAGGACAUGAAUCUCUCUGAUGCAGUUACAGAGCUGAAAUGAAACUAAACAAAUGCACUGCCUCAGUAUAUUUUUUUUGUGUUUUUUUUAAGGGGGUUUCUAUAAACAAUUAUUUUUAUAAAGCACACUUUAGUUUACAAUCUUUCAUUAUAACUGUUAUAAAUUUUUUUUAAACAACCCGAAAUGCGUUCCAUAUAAAGAAAUGGCAAGUUAUUUAGCUAUCAAGAUUUUACAUGUAGUUUUCUUAUAAUUUUUGUACAAUUGCAUAGACGUGUAAAACCUGCCAUUGUUAACAAAACAGUAACAGACUUAGGAAACUACUGAAAUCUACAGUAUAGUACCACUA